rnacentral:rRNA from 1 species
CCUACGGGAGGCAGCAGUGGGGAAUAUUGGACAAUGGGCGCAAGCCUGAUCCAGCAAUGCCGCGUGAGUGAUGAAGGCCUUAGGGUUGUAAAGCUCUUUCGGCGGGGACGAUGAUGACGGUACCCGCAGAAGAAGCCCCGGCUAACUUCGUGCCAGCAGCCGCGGUAAUACGAAGGGGGCUAGCGUUGCUCGGAUUUACUGGGCGUAAAGGGCGCGUAGGCGGCUAGGUAAGUCGGAUGUGAAAGCCCUGGGCUCAACCCAGGAAGUGCAUUCGAUACUGCCUAGCUCGAGUACCGGAGAGGUUGGUGGAAUUCUCGGUGUAGAGGUGAAAUUCGUAGAUAUCGGGAGGAACACCGGUGGCGAAGGCGGCGCUCUGGACCGAGACUGACGCUGAGGCGCGAAAGCGUGGGGAGCAAACAGGAUUAGAUACCCUGGUAGUCCACGCUGUAAACGAUGUGUGCUAGACGUUGGGGAGCCUAGCUCUUCGGUGUCGCAGCUAACGCUUUAAGCACACCGCCUGGGGAGUACGGCCGCAAGGUUAAAACUCAAAGGAAUUGACGG